UACGAAGGUGGCGAGCGUUACUCGGAAUUACUAGGCGUAAAGGGCAGGUAGGUGGUUUGAUAAGUCUGUUGUGUAAACUCCCGGCUUAACUGGGAGAGGUCAACGGAUACUGUCAGGCUUGAGUAUAGGAGAGGGUACUGGAAUUCCCGGUGUAGCGGUGAAAUGCGCAGAUAUCGGGAGGAACACCAAUGGCGAAGGCAGGUACCUGGACUAUUACUGACACUCAGCUGCGAAAGCUAGGGGAGCAAACAGG
rnacentral:rRNA from 1 species